AGACUUUGGCGGGGCAAGACUGGCCGUUCUCUUACCUGCUGAGAGUGGUGGUGAUGGUAACAGGCUGCGGUGUAAGCUGCUGCGGCGGCUGCUGACUCCUAAGAACUGCCAGACACAGGACUGCGGGAAGGAGGAGAGAGAGCAACAGCACAGCAAAAACGUAGAGGCUCCGAUCACUUGAUCUGACACUCUUAGCCACCAGCUCAGAAACUGGCACUGAGGCUGGGAACCGGCCCUGCAUUCCUGCGCAGAAGGAAAUGAAGCAAAGAAGUGAAAU